rnacentral:misc_RNA from 1 species
UGAAGUAAAAGUCGUAACAAGGUUUCCGUAGGUGAACCUGCGGAAGGAUCAUUACAGAGUUCAUGCCCUCACGGGUAGAUCUCCCACCCUUGAAUAUUUAUACCUUAGUUGCUUUGGCAGGCCGUGGAAACACCAUGGGCUCCGGCUUAUGCGUGCCUGCCAGAGGAAACAAACUCUGUUUUUAGUGAUGUCUGAGUACUAUAUAAUAGUUAAAACUUUCAACAACGGAUCUCUUGGUUCUG